UACGUAGGGGGGCUAGCGUUGUCCGGAAUCAUUGGGCGUAAAGCGCGUGUAGGCGGUCCGGUAAGUCCGCUGUGAAAGUCGGGGGCUCAACCCGUCGAAUGCCGGUGGAUACUGUCGGGCUAGAGUGCGGAAGAGGCGAGUGGAAUUCCUGGUGUGAGCGGUGAAAUGCGCAGAUAUCAGGAGGAACACCGGUGGCGAAGGCGGAUCUCUGGGCCUUACCUGACGCUGAGGCGCGAAAGCUAAGGGGAGCGAACAGG
rnacentral:rRNA from 1 species